UGAGUUGGGUUUUUUGUUUAAUGAGUUGGUUUUUUCCCCUUGCUAAAUAGUUCCCAUAGUAUAGCAGCACUACCGUAAUGGCUACUGAGGAAAAGACUAGAAGACUUCAUGAGUUGUCUGACUGAUUGAUACUACACGUGAUGGAAAACAGAAGAGAAUUGUUAAUCUUGGCACAUGCAUGAGCUUGGACUUUGGGAAAAGCAGAAUAUGCAAUAGUGUAAGUUGAACCAGGAUCAUCGUUAUGCUCGUUCAAGAGAAAGCUUCCCUCUUCCUCUAACUACAGAAGACAGUUAAUGUCCAUUUGGCUUUCCUAGUAAGUAAAGGAACAAAACCAGCUAGAUAUGAAAUAAGCUGAGAUUAUAUUGCAUAAUAAUAUAGUAGUAAUACAUUGGUAGUUUAUAGAUAGGCAUGCUUAUAAUGACAAAAAUAACUUCAGUAAAUAGCUAAAUAAAGGAUUACUGUUGCUGUUUUACUACAGAACUUGUAUUUUAAUAAUUUUCCAAAAAUGUAAUGUGCAUGCCUGCAAAUAAGAACAGGAGGUUAUGGAUUAUAGGUAUAUUUGCUUAGUAGCUAUUUUGUUAAUCAAAGAACAUCAGCAUACCACUGUGAUGUUACACAAUUCACUAAUUUGCACUUUAAAUAUAACAGCUUAGUUUUAGACACAUUACUAGCUUAAACUGUAUGUGUAAGCAGCUGACUAAUCUUACAGUAAGAGAAAGAUUUAAAACAAAGUGAGCUGCAGUACCUCAGUAGCCUAGUAUACAAAUUCCACAACAUUUAUACAGCUGAUGUCUUUUUACAAGAUAACUUCAAGAACAUAUAAACGAAUUCUCAUUUUCUAUAUAUAUUAAAAAGCUUUUGUGGACUUGA